UCUUCCUUGGUCUAGUGGUGAUGAUUUCCGCUUGUCACGCGGGAGACCGGGGUUCGAUUCCCCGAGGGAGAG
rnacentral:tRNA from 9 species